ACAUGCAGUCGAGGGGUAUAGUUCUUCGGAAUUAGARACCGGCGCACGGGUGGUAACSGUAUGAAUCUACCUUUCACAGAGGGAUAGCCCAGAGAAAUUUGGAUUAAUACCUCAUAGUAUAGCAGUUUCGCAUGAAACCACUAUUAAAGAUUUAUCGGUGAAAGAUGAGCAUGCGUCCCAUUAGUUAGUUGGUAAGGUAACGGCUUACCAAGACAACGAUGGGUAGGGGUCCUGAGAGGGAGAUCCCCCACACUGGUACUGAGACACGGACCAGACUCMUACGGGAGGCAGCAGUGAGGAAUAUUGGACAAUGGGCGCAAGUGAUCCAGCCAUGCCGCGUGCAGGAUGACGGUCCUAUGGAUUGUAAACUGCUUUUAUACGAGAAGAAACACUCCGACGUGUCGAGCUUGACGGUAUCGUAAGAAUAAGGAUCGGCUAACUCCGUGCCAGCAGCCGCGGUAAUACGGAGGAUCCAAGCGUUAUCCGGAAUCAUUGGGUUUAAAGGGUCCGUAGCGGUCAGAUAAGUCAGUGGUGAAAGCCCAUCGCUCAACGGUGGAACGGCCAUUGAUACUGUCUGACUUGAAUUAUUAGGAAGUAACUAGAAUAUGUAGUGUAGCGGUGAAAUGCUUAGAGAUUACAUGGAAUACCAAUUGCGAAGGCAGGUUACUACUAAUAUAUUGACGCUGAUGGACGAAAGCGUGGGUAGCGAACAGGAUUAGAUACCCUGGUAGUCCACGCCGUAAACGAUGGAUACUAGCUGUUGGGCGCAAGUUCAGUGGCUAAGCGAAAGUGAUAAGUAUCCCACCUGGGGAGUACGUUCGCAAGAAUGAAACUCAAAGGAAUUGACGGGGGCCGCACAAGCGGUGGAGCAUGUGGUUUAAUUCGAUGAUACGCGAGGAACCUUACCAAGGCUUAAAUGUAGAUUGACCGGUUUGGAAACAGACUUUUCGCAAGACAAUUUACAAGGUGCUGCAUGGUUGUCGUCAGCUCGUGCCGUGAGGUGUCAGGUUAAGUCCUAUAACGAGCGCAACCCCUGUUGUUAGUUGCCAGCGAGUCAUGUCGGGAACUCUAACAAGACUGCCAGUGCAAACUGUGAGGAAGGUGGGGAUGACGUCAAAUCAUCACGGCCCUUACSCUUGGGCUACACACGUGCUACAAUGGCCGGUACAGAGAGCAGCCACUGGGCGACCAGGAGCGAAUCUAUAAAACCGGUCACAGUUCGGAUCGGAGUCUGCAACUCGMUCCGUGAAGCUGGAAUCGCUAGUAAUCGGAUAUCAGCCAUGAUCCGGUGAUAUACGUUCCCGGGCCUUGUACACACCGCCCGUCAAGCCAUGGA
rnacentral:rRNA from 1 species